AGACUUUUUAAUUGUAUUGAUUGGCUAUAAGGCUACCGAAGCAGAUGAGGGCCGGCCUGAUAUCCCCCUGUCACCUUGACCUUGGGCCAGGAGUAGCCUUGUGACCUCCGACCCUAUAACCCCAACCGCCGACCUCCGUAAUCCUGCUGCGUGGACAAUCUACAGGGAAAAGCGUCACAGUUGUCUCCAAAUGAGAAUUGACUUUCCUCGCCUUGAAUGCUGGAAAUGUGGGUUAAAGUAUGUCAAUAAUGUUUCACAAGAACAAUUUUCCCCCCAGUAUAGUCGACGCUGAAAUUAAUUGACAUUUUUUGCAGAGGAAGGGUCCGGGCCUGCGCUGUACGAAAGCACUUGAAGGGAGUUCUUGGACGCUAACCGCUUGGCCGUAUUGAUCGCACGCUUAAAGUGCACACACACACUCUGAAGAGCAUUGAGAUUCAGACACAGGGCACAGGGAGCCCAUGCACACCAC